rnacentral:rRNA from 1 species
UAAGGAGGAUGCGAGCGUUAUCCGGAUUUAUUGGGUUUAAAGGGUGCGCAGGCGGAAUGUCAAGUCAGCGGUAAAAUUUCGGGGCUCAACCCCGUCGUGCCGUUGAAACUGGCGUUCUUGAGUGAGCGAGAAGUAUGCGGAAUGCGUGGUGUAGCGGUGAAAUGCAUAGAUAUUGCGCAGAACUCCGAUUGCGAAGGCAGCCUACCGGCUUCUGUCUGACGCUGAGGCACGAAAGCGUGGGUAUCAAACAGG